rnacentral:rRNA from 1 species
GAUGAACGCUAGCGGCAGGCUUAACACAUGCAAGUCGAGGGGUAACAGGGAAAAGCUUGCUUUUUUGCUGACGACCGGCGCACGGGUGAGUAACGCGUAUAGAACCUACCUUUUACAGGGGAAUAGCCCAGAGAAAUUUGGAUUAAUGCCCUAUAGUAUUAUUGAGUGGCAUCAUUUAAUAAUUAAACAUUUAUGGGUAAAAGAUGGCUAUGCGUUCUAUUAGCUAGAUGGUAAGGUAACGGCUUACCAUGGCAACGAUAGAUAGGGGUCCUGAGAGGGAGAUCCCCCACACUGGUACUGAGACACGGACCAGACUCCUACGGGAGGCAGCAGUGAGGAAUAUUGGACAAUGGAGGCAACUCUGAUCCAGCCAUGCCGCGUGCAGGAAGACGGCCCUAUGGGUUGUAAACUGCUUUUAUACGGGAAGAAACCCAACUACGUGUAGUUGGCUGACGGUACCGUAAGAAUAAGCACCGGCUAACUCCGUGCCAGCAGCCGCGGUAAUACGGAGGGUGCAAGCGUUAUCCGGAAUCAUUGGGUUUAAAGGGUCCGUAGGCGGGCUAAUAAGUCAGGGGUGAAAUCCAACAGCUUAACUGUUGAACUGCCUUUGAUACUGUUAGUCUUGAAUUAUAUGGAAGUAGAUAGAAUGUGUAGUGUAGCGGUGAAAUGCUUAGAGAUUACACAGAAUACCGAUUGCGAAGGCAGUCUACUACGUAUAU